rnacentral:rRNA from 1 species
UACGUAGGGGGCUAGCGUUGUCCGGAAUCAUUGGGCGUAAAGAGCGUGUAGGCGGUCCGGUAAGUCCGCUGUGAAAGUCGGGGGCUCAACCCUCGAAUGCCGGUGGAUACUGUCGGGCUAGAGUGCGGAAGAGGCGAGUGGAAUUCCUGGUGUAGCGGUGAAAUGCGCAGAUAUCAGGAGGAACACCUGUUGCGAAGGCAGCUCGCUGGGACGUAACUGACGCUGAGACGCGAAAGCGUGGGGAGCAAACAGG